rnacentral:rRNA from 1 species
GCUGGGGGAUUAGUGGCGAACGGGUGAGUAACACGUGAGUAACCUGCCCUUAACUCUGGGAUAAGCCUGGGAAACUGGGUCUAAUACCGGAUAUGACUCCUCAUCGCAGGGUGGGGGGUGGAAAGCUUUUUGUGGUUUUGGAUGGACUCGCGGCCUAUCAGCUUGUUGGUGAGGUAAUGGCUCACCAAGGCGACGACGGGUAGCCGGCCUGAGAGGGUGACCGGCCACACUGGGACUGAGACACGGCCCAGACUCCUACGGGAGGCAGCAGUGGGGAAUAUUGCACAAUGGGCGAAAGCCUGAUGCAGCGACGCCGCGUGAGGGAUGACGGCCUUCGGGUUGUAAACCUCUUUCAGUAGGGAAGAAGCGAAAGUGACGGUACCUGCAGAAGAAGCGCCGGCUAACUACGUGCCAGCAGCCGCGGUAAUACGUAGGGCGCAAGCGUUAUCCGGAAUUAUUGGGCGUAAAGAGCUCGUAGGCGGUUUGUCGCGUCUGCCGUGAAAG